rnacentral:rRNA from 1 species
UACGGAGGAUGCAAGCGUUAUCCGGAUUUAUUGGGCUUAAAGGGUGCGUAGGCGGGUAUAUAAGUCAGCGGUGAAAGACUGUCGCUCAACGAUAGCAUUGCCAUUGAUACUGUAAGUCUUGAGUACACUUGAGGUAGGCGGAAUGUGUAGUGUAGCGGUGAAAUGCUUAGAUAUUACACAGAACACCAAUUGCGAAGGCAGCUUACUAAGUUGUAACUGACGCUGAGGCACGAAGGCGUGGGGAU